ensembl:lncRNA
CAGACAAUCUACGUCCGGAGUUCUGUACACGAGUUAAACUGAACGGAUUGAAGAGUUCUGAGAGUCGUCUCGCUCCAUAUCUCAGCUCACAUAUUUUGACGGGAGUCUAAAUCGUGGUUAUCCCCCUGUUUGAUUGAUGGCUCCUUUAAAGGCGGUCAGAGCGUCACCGCUUUCGUAUUGUUCCCAGCGUGUUUGUAAUUUGUCUGGGUACGGGACAUUAAAUCCGCAUCAUCAGGGCUCCGUGUUACAUUAAUCUGGUGCUCUGUGUGUGUGUGUGUGUCUGUGUGUGUGUGUGUGUGUGUGUGUGUGAGUGUGUGUGUGUGUGUGUGUGUGUGAGUGUGUGUGUGUGUGGAUUUAUUAACUCCAGAGUAAGAGCCACUGUAGGCUUUGUGUGUUUUAAAAGGCCGAGCUGGCUGUUCUGUUUGCUGUUUCAUGAUGAACAGAACCAGAUUCUGCAGUUUAGGACCCGAGAACAGCUUUUUGUCUAUUUAAUCAAAUAUUUUCCAUUCUCUCUCUCUCUCUCUCUCUCUCUCUGUUAUUUGGGAUUUCUGCCUAAUUGCUUGCCAUUUUUAAAUGUUUGCGGUCUGCAGGAACAGACAGUGACGGACGUCAUCGGAUUGACCUUUAAUCGGAGAAGGUCCUUUCAGUGUCUCCGACUCCAGAAGUGAUGUGUGAAAUCUCAGAAUCUUCCGACCGAAUAUUAACCUCACGUGAACCUCGUGUGUGUCCACAGAUCGCCGAGAUCCUGACCAAGACCAAACCCUCCGUCCUGCUCACGCUGCGAGGCUUGAACACCGACAGUGGCAGUAUCUCCCGUGAAGCGUCCUUUGAAGGAAUCAGCCGGGUUGCAGGAAACCUGGAGCCUAUCCCAGUGAUCACGGGGGACAAGGCGGGGUACACCCUGGACAGGGUGCCAAUCCAUCGCAGAGGACAAUCACAUGCACAUUCACACACCCAUUCACAUCCUAUGGACACUUUGGACAUGCCAGUGUCUUUGGACUGGGGGAGGAAACCGG